rnacentral:rRNA from 1 species
AACGAACGCUGGCGGCAGGCCUAACACAUGCAAGUCGAGCGCGCCCUUCGGGGUGAGCGGCGGACGGGUGAGUAACGCGUGGGAACGUGCCCUUCUCUGCGGAAUAGCCUCGGGAAACUGAGAGUAAUACCGCAUACGCCCUUUGGGGGAAAGACUUAUCGGAGAAGGAUCGGCCCGCGUUGGAUUAGGUAGUUGGUGGGGUAAUGGCCCACCAAGCCGACGAUCCAUAGCUGGUUUGAGAGGAUGAUCAGCCACACUGGGACUGAGACACGGCCCAGCCUCCUACGGGAGGCAGCAGUGGGGAAUCUUAGACAAUGGGGGCAACCCUGAUCUAGCCAUGCCGCGUGAGUGAUGAAGGCCUUAGGGUUGUAAAGCUCUUUCAGCUGGGAAGAUAAUGACGGUACCAGCAGAAGAAGCCCCGGCUAACUCCGUG